rnacentral:rRNA from 1 species
AUGCACGCUGGCGGCGUGCCUCAUACAUGCAAGUCGAGCGAACAGACGAGGAGCUUGCUCCUCUGACGUUAGCGGCGGACGGGUGAGUAACACGUGGAUAACCUACCUAUAAGACUGGGAUAACUUCGGGAAACCGGAGCUAAUACCGGAUAAUAUAUUGAACCGCAUGGUUCAAUAGUGAAAGACGGUUUUGCUGUCACUUAUAGAUGGAUCCGCGCCGCAUUAGCUAGUUGGUAAGGUAACGGCUUACCAAGGCAACGAUGCGUAGCCGACCUGAGAGGGUGAUCGGCCACACUGGAACUGGGACACGGUCCAGACUCCUACGGGAGGCAGCAGUAGGGAAUCGUCCGCAAUGGGCGAAAGCCUGACGGAGCAACGCCGCGUGAGUGAUGAAGGUCUUCGGAUCGUAAAACUCUGUUAUUAGGGAAGAACAAAUGUGUAAGUAACUAUGCACGUCUUGACGGUACCUAAUCAGAAAGCCACGGCUAACUACGUG